rnacentral:rRNA from 1 species
ACUCCUACGGGAGGCAGCAGUGGGGAAUAUUGCACAAUGGGGGAAACCCUGAUGCAGCCAUGCCGCGUGUGUGAAGAAGGCCUUCGGGUUGUAAAGCACUUUCAGUAGGGAGGAAGGUAGUGUAGUUAACACCUGCAUUAUUUGACGUUACCUACAGAAGAAGCGCCGGCUAACUCCGUGCCAGCAGCCGCGGUAAUACGGAGGGUGCGAGCGUUAAUCGGAAUUACUGGGCGUAAAGCGCAUGCAGGCGGCCUGUUAAGUCAGAUGUGAAAGCCCGGGGCUUAACCUCGGAAUUGCAUUUGAAACUGGCAGGCUAGAGUCUUGUAGAGGGGUUAGAAUUUCAGGUGUAGCGGUGAAAUGCGUAGAGAUCUGAAGGAAUACCAGUGGCGAAGGCGGCCCCUGGACAAAGACUGACGCUCAGAUGCGAAAGCGUGGGAGCAAACAGGAUUAGAUACCCCGUGGUAGCGACUGA